rnacentral:rRNA from 1 species
UGCAAGUCGAGGGGUAACGGAAGUAGCUUGCUACUAGACGACGACCGGCGCACGGGUGAGUAACGCGUAUGUAAUCUGCCUUGUACAGAGGGAUAGCCCAGAGAAAUUUGGAUUAAUACCUCAUAGUAUUACCGAAUCGCAUGAUUUGGUAAUUAAAGCUCCGGCGGUACAAGAUGAACAUGCGUGACAUUAGCUAGUUGGUAAGGUAACGGCUUACCAAGGCCACGAUGUCUAGGGGUUCUGAGAGGAUGAUCCCCCACACUGGUACUGAGACACGGACCAGACUCCUACGGGAGGCAGCAGUGAGGAAUAUUGGCCAAUGGACGCAAGUCUGAACCAGCCAUCCCGCGUGAAGGAUGACUGCCCUAUGGGUUGUAAACUUCUUUUAUAUGC